rnacentral:rRNA from 1 species
CAUUUCUGCAAUGGGCGAAAACCUGACAGAGCAAUACCGCGUGAGGGAAUAAGAAAGCUCAAAGGGUUGUAAUCCUCUUUUGUUAAGGAAGAAGUUCUGAUGUUAUUUAAAGAGUAAACGUAGGGUAUAUCUGUGUCAGCACCCGCGGUAAUAUGGAGGAGGCACGUGCUAUCCGGAAUCUUUGGUCGUAAAGCUUCAGUAGGUGCUGUAUUAAGUUCAUUAUUAAAUCUUGAAGCUCAACUUCAAAACUGUACUAGAAACUAAUAAACUCGAGGAUAGUAGGGGUAAAGGGAAUUUCCAGUGGAGCGGUGAAAUGUGUAGAGAUUGAAGGACCACCGAAGGCGAAGGCACUUUAGUGGGCUAUUUCUGACACUAAGAGACGAAAGCUAGGGGAGCAAAUGGGAUUUGAUACCCCUGUAUUGUCUAGCCGUC